CACACCUUCUCCAGAUCUGAUAUGAUUCAUGAGACAGGACCUUUAGGUGACACAAACACAUCCAUACGUUGUAUUUGUGUCUGGAGCAGAGGACAGAAUGGAAAUAGAACGGAGGGUCUGGUCUCAGACUUCCUGCAGGGAAUUUUGUUGGUUUUUGUGGUUCAAGUGACACUCAGAGUUAUAGCAGGUUUUGUGUAGCAGGGUGUGUCUUUCUGUCAGACUAAUGCACAGGAGACCCGAUUCCCAAACAUAGCACGCUUGCCCCCCGGCCAAGCAGCGGCAGUGUGAGAAAAACAUCAGUUUAGUGGAGCUGAAUCCAAAAUAAUAGGCUGAAACAAAGCAACAACUCCACAACAUUAUUAGUGUGGUUUUCUUUAAAACUAUUUACAUGUACACAUUAAGCUAACAUUUGUUUGUUUUAUAUUCUUUUCAACAGAGAUAAACCCC